rnacentral:rRNA from 1 species
UACAGAGGUCUCGAGCGUUAGGCGGAAUCACUGGGCUUAAAGCGUGUGUAGGCGGAUUGCUAAGUACCUUGUGAAAUCCCACGGCUUAACCGUGGAACUGCUUGGUAUACUGGCUGUCUUGAGCCACUUAGGGGCAACCGGAACAAACGGUGGAGCGGUGAAAUGCGUAGAUAUCGUUUGGAACGCCAAUGGUGAAAACAGGCUGCUGGGGUUGCGCCGACGCUGAGACACGAAAGCCAGGGGAGCAAACGGG